UCGAGAUGAUGAGAUAUAUCAUUAUUAACCUUAUCUACAUUAUCUGAAAGUUUAAAUUUCAAUUGAAGAUAAACAUGUACAACAAUAGCUGAAUUUUUUUAAAAUACUCGA